AGAGGUAUAGCUCAGUGGUAGAGUGCAUGCCCAGAGUGCACAAGGUCCUGGGUUCAAUCUCCAGGACCUCCA
rnacentral:tRNA from 1 species